rnacentral:rRNA from 1 species
GACGAACCGUGCGAACGUUAUUCGGAAUCACUGGGCUUAAAGGGCGCGUAGGCGGGUUCUCAAGUCAGGGGUGAAAUCCCGCGGCUCAACCGUGGAAGUGCCUUUGAUACUGGGGACCUCGAGGGAGGUAGGGGCGUGCGGAACUUCCGGUGGAGCGGUGAAAUGCGUAGAUAUCGGAAGGAACACCGGUGGCGAAAGCGGCGCGCUGGACCUCUUCGACGCUGAGGCGCGAAAGCCAGGGAGCA